rnacentral:rRNA from 1 species
AAUAAGCUAUUUAAGAGCGUAAGGUGGAUGCCUUGGCUCUCAGAGGCGAUGAAGGACGUGAUAAGCUGCGAUAAGCUACGGGGAUUGGCACACACAAUUUGAUCCGUAGAUUUCCGAAUGGGGCAACCCACUAUAUUGAAGAUAUAGUAUCCGUUAAGGAAGCAAACCCAGGGAACUGAAACAUCUAAGUACCUGGAGGAAUAGAAAACAAAAGUGAUUCCGCUAGUAGUGGCGAGCGAACGCGGAACAGCCCAAACCAAAAUUGUUUCGGC